rnacentral:rRNA from 1 species
GCAUGAAGCUGGAAUCGCUAGUAAUCGCGGAUCAGAAUGCCGCGGUGAAUACGUUCCCGGGUCUUGUACACACCGCCCGUCACACCAUGGGAGUCGGGAAUGCCCGAAGUCAGUGACCCAACCGAAAGGGGGGAGCUGCCGAAGGCAGGCCUGGUAACUGGGGUGAAGUCGUAACAAGGUAUC